rnacentral:rRNA from 1 species
CUACGUGCCAGCAGCCGCGGUAAUACGGAAGGUCCGGGCGUUAUCCGGAUUUAUUGGGUUUAAAGGGAGCGUAGGCCGGAGAUUAAGUGUGUUGUGAAAUGUAGACGCUCAACGUCUGACUUGCAGCGCAUACUGGUUUCCUUGAGUACGCACAACGUUGGCGGAAUUCGUCGUGUAGCGGUGAAAUGCUUAGAUAUGACGAAGAACUCCGAUUGCGAAGGCAGCUGACGGGAGCGCAACUGACGCUUAAGCUCGAAGGUGCGGGUAUCGAACAGGAUUAGAUACCCUGGUAGUCCGCACAGUAAACGAUGGAUGCCCGCUGUUGGUACCUGGUAUCAGCGGCUAAGCGAAAGCAUUAAGCAUCCCGCCUGGGGAGUACGCCGGCAACGGUGAAACUCAAAGGAAUUGACGGGGGCCCGCACAAGCGGAGGAACAUGUGGUUUAAUUCGAUGAUACGCGAGGAACCUUACCCGGGCUUGAA